CUUCAUUGAUACUAGGUGCAAUUACUAGAUUAUUAGUUGCUGACAAAUUGAUUUGAAAAAAAAAAAUCAGUCCAAUCUAUAUAUUUAUUAAGAUCAUAUUCUUUUUGUCUUAAAUAACAUAUAAUCCUCAGAAAGGUAUAAAUAUAUAUAGGAAGGCCCUGUUCUUUGAUUGAUCGCUGCGUCAGCUACCUGCGAUCCAAAAAAAGCUCUCAUCUCUCUUUCACUUUCAUUUCUCCUCUCUUUCAUCUCUGCCGCAGCAACUAUAAUUCGACCAUUCCGUAGACGCUGGAAUUUUCAGCGUCUCAAAUUCCCUUUUUCCUAUCUCUUCAGAUCUAUCGCUGCGACUCUUUCAUUCAUCUCACCUUCAUCUCUCCUUCUUUUUUCUUUUAUAUUUUGUGCCGCCGGUGCUUGUCGCAGCGAUCAACAAAAGAACAGGGUAGAAGUAAUUUU
rnacentral:sRNA from 1 species